GCCCUCGUCCUGCAGCCGCACGGCAGACAGCCGAAGCCGGUGUGAGAUGUCAUUGCCCUGGACGCGUACGGUCUGCAAGAGAGCAGGGUUAGAGGCCGGGCUGGGCAGCUCCCAAACCUACUCUUCUGGCCACCCUGGCCGUCGCGCCCCCUCAUCCGCGCACCCCAACACUUCCCGGAUCCUGGUUUGCCCACCAUCACGAUCCGGCUUCCCUUUCACCCGCGUCUACCCAGUGGCAUAGGGCUUCCAACUCUGCGUGGACGCCAGGCAGCCAGCUCUUUGGACUGUGUCCCCACGUCCCCAUCACGUUAACCAAACGCCCACCUUGCAUCUGCCCCGCCCAUACAAACCAACACUGCUUGUCUUCCCGUAGCUGGCGCUUCAGAAGGGCAGAGUCCACCUCUCCUUCCUCCCUCCUGCACCUUCAGGAAACCCCAGGCUGGAUUCCUUGUUCCUUAACUUCCCCACGUCUUUCCCGCCCCGACGCGCUCCAACCGACAGUCCCGCCCCAGCCGGCCCUCCUCACCUCCCGGAGCACGGAGGGCCUGCCCGAAUCGCUUCCUAAGGAAAGCCACCCUGUCACCGGACCCCGCCCUUUACAGCUAACACUGUGCUUUCUUAAGAAGGCAAGCAACGCUGAGGCUGCUGCCUGGCUCCCUGGCCACCUGCUACCAACCCGCCUUUCCGCGGGAUCUCCAGAAGCCCCCCAGCGAAGUGCUCCUCCCCUGCGCCCCGGUGGGGACUUCGGGAAGUACUGCUCUACGGCUCUCAACAAACACCCAGGGAGCCCUCACCUCUGAACCGAGCCCACGAGGAGGCUUCGUCAUCUCCAGGCCUUUCUACGCUCCAGGACACUUGGACCAACAAAAGAUAUUUUCUUCUCAGUCAUGCAUGCAAAUAUAUGGAAGAUCUUAGAAAAUUGUGGAAAGUGGGGCAUACUGAACAAAAUCACUGCCAUCAGAGAGAAUGAAGUGAUGCAAGAUCAGGAUGUGUCAGGAAGCCCAGGCGUGUGUCGCCACGUUGAUCUCUGUGUGAAAUAGGACGGACUCAGUACCUGCAGCUAGACAACGCUGGAGAAACUCCAAAGGACUGAGUGCCGCCCAGGCUUCAGGAGAGUAAGACAACAGACACUAUGCACUUUUCUAAUGUGGCCGGCACUCUGUGCUUGCAAUCACAUAUGUGCCACAGACAGGAUUUCUAUCAAACAAACAAGAAGAACAGAUGGAUGCCAAGCCCGUUGUCACUUUCCUGGUGCGUUUAACAGGAGCCAGGGGAGAAGUCCAGUUUGGGGCGUCUUGGGAAGUUUCCACAUCAUCCAUGAAAUUCUGUGGUGGACUUGUCACCCACACCAUGGGUGGGUUUGAUGGCUUGGUGGUCGGCAGUGCAAUGACCACAACCAUGUUGGCUUUUAUUACUCACAACACCGGGGAUCGUUCCCAGAGCAGUGCUUUUCUAAACACUGGAGAAAGCAGGGCUUGCAUUGGGCUGGGGAGCUGAGUCAUUGCAUGCAGAGGCGGAGUCAAGGCGAUCGUAGAUCAUGCUUCCACAUAUGUUGCAUGUAGAGAAAACAGCCUCCUCUCUGGCCAUGGAUUCUAGUAUGGUAACUAGGAGAGUUCCCCAGAGUUCAUCUCUGGAUCCAAUCAGUUUUUGUUUUACCAGAGAUGAGCUUUUUGCUGGAAAUUUUUGAAACAACAACUCAAGGUGCAACCGUUACUGGUGGGUACUUUUUUUUUUUUUUUUUUCUGAGACUGAGUCUCACUCUGUUGCCCAGGCUGGAGUGCAGUGGCUCGAUCUCAGCUCACUGAAACCUCUGCCUCCUGGGUUCAAGUGAUUCUCCUGCCUCAGCCUCCUGAGUAGCUGGGAUUAUCGGUGUGUGCCACCAUGCCUGGCUAAUUUUUCUAUUUUUAGUAGAGACAGGGUUUCUCCAUGUUGGGCAGGCUGGUCUAGAACUCCUGACCCCAGGUGAUCUGCCUGCCUCGGCCUCCCAAAGUGCUGGGAUUAUAGGCAUGAGCUACUGUGCCCGGCCACUAGUGGGUAGUUUUGCACUGUGUGUAACCCCAAACCUGGGACCCUGGGAUACAGACUGAUGACCAAGACAAAUCCAGUGAAGAAUUACGGAUCUUUGGACUCAUCUCCAACUGUUUCUGGGCUCAGCUGGCAUGAGAAAGGAGUCUCAGAAUGCCCAGCUCCACCAGAGGUGCCCAGCACCUCCCCUCACUCCACACUUAGGAAGCAAUGUCGUUUCCUGUGCCAGUCAGCUCUAAAUGAUUAUGUAAUUACAUUUGUGAAUGUAAUCCUGUGGGGCAUCAUUCUAAUUAUAGCCCACAAUCCUUUCUAGCAGUGUUCAGAGAAAUAAUAUGUGCGAUGAAGUGGGGCUGCUCUGUGUACUGCAAGAAUGUCCAGGAACCUGAGCACAUGCGGUCGCACCUGCCCCCUGGAAUCCACAUGCCCUUGGCUCUUUCUUAAAAAGCGGAUCAAAGGGUCCAGUCCAUGGCAGCCACUUCUCAGGGCAGGUGCAAUUCAGUGCAUGCUUUAAUUGCAGGUCCCCAAAGAACUUUGCAGACAUUCUUUUCUCGUUGUUCAUGAUGCAUUCUUUAAAGUAAUUUUGAGUGAAUUUUAUGGUAUGUAAAUUAUGCCUCAAUAAAUUUGUUAAAAAUAAAGUGGUUAUUAAGUUAAUUAUAAUCAACACAGACAUGUGUGGGUCACACAGACAAUCACUGCUGCAGGC
rnacentral:lncRNA from 1 species